rnacentral:lncRNA from 12 species
UUCCUCCCUCACUGCCCCCCACUUGUGCACACUUGCUCGCUCUCUCUUUAAAAAAAAAUGAAUGGUUGUUGCUGCUGAAGGUUGUGCCUCAUGCAGUUAGGAAAGAACUCUAGCCUGCUUUAUGGAUGCUGCCCAUUCAAUCCCAAUUGAUUUAGCUGAUUUUAACAGAUACUCAGGAAGCCUCUUUCAAGUGUAGCCCGGGUGCUAGGGACCACACACAUCUGGGUGAGCUGAGCGCUCUGAUCUCAAGACACCUAGCCCGGAGAGGCAAAAGGUUCACAUAGCCAGGGCCUGUGAAAGAAUGGAGAACCCACUCCAGAAGUACUGGGCUCUGAUUUAUAGGAGCAAAUCCAAAUCUUAGCUGUUCUUCAAAUAGCUUUACUAGGAAGAGAUCAUGUAAGUCUAAUUGUGUGUGUCUGUGUGCGUGUGUAUGUGUGUGCAUGCAAGUGGGUGUUUAACACAGCACUUUCUUAGGCAGCCUGGAGCACUCAUUCAGUUUUGCUGACCUUUUUAGUGCUAAUUAGUAUUUUCAGAGUGAUGAUCUCAUCAUUGGAAGUGAAUGGCUUUGUAGAACAAGAAGGUGGCUAUGGCCAGAACUCAGUCAAUCUGCCAAUCCGUCCAUCCAUCCAACCAUCCAUCCAUCUAACCAUCCAUCCAAACCUGUCACUAAUAUUUGCCAGAAGCAGAGAAAAUGAGCCUUCCCAGCUCCCUUGGAUUAUCUUGUGGUGCAUCACUCGUUAAUAUACACAGAAGCCCCCAGUAAUCAGCUGGACCCAGGCAGGCAGGCUCCUGAAAGAGGCCAAGAUGAAGGAUACUUCCCAAAGGAAAUAAGCCCAACCGGGAGGUUGCUCAUUCCUAUGGCCUCCUGCGGCCAGGGAGAACAGGCUUUUAUGGAGCUGUUUCCUGCUGUUCACUGACCUCCUUCCCAAAGAUCCCUGCGGGGUUGGCCACAUCUUAGCUGACACUAAGGAAAAAAUCUUUAAAAGAAAAAGUGAGAAACAUUUCUGUAUGAGAAAGUCAAGGAUCUCGGUCAAGCCUCUGCUUCUCUGGAACGGUAUACACCUCUUACAGGAGAGUUUAGAAGAUGGUGAGGUGUGCAAUGCUACAAAACCAGAAAUCAGCUGCCAUGUCUUUCAGCAAAGAUGGAAAGUGCUGGGUGUGAAGUGUUCAGCACAGAGAACACUUGUACCAGAGUGAGGAUUAUAGAAUCACACAACCAUUGUCCAGUGGAACAAGUAAAAGUAUGAGACUUUUACUCUAGCUCUGUGAUUUCCAUUAUCAUGGUCACUAGACAUAUGUGCCUAUUUAAGUUUCAACUACUAAAAUGAGAUAAAUUACCAGUCCGUUCCUCAAGCCUACUAGGCACAUUUUAAGGGCUCCCCAGCCACAUCUGCCAGUGGCUACUGUCGUGAAGAGCACAGAUACAAAGCAUUUCCACCAUUGCCUGAUUCUUUGUUGGACAGUAUGGCUCUCAUCUGUCCAGACAUUCUUCUGUUUGGGGGUGGGAAGCCACAGAGGAAAUGAGAAGAGUUAUUUAAGAAAUGUGAAGAGGAAGAACAACUUAAUAUUCAGCCAUUGACAUUCAGAAUCUGAUCCUGCAACAAUAAAAUAGUUCCACAAGCCA